UGCGUGAAGUCGGAAUCGCUAGUAAUCGCGGAUCAGCAUGCCGCGGUGAAUACGUUCCCGGGCCUUGUACACACCGCCCGUCACACCAUGAGAGUCGGGAACACCCGAAGUCCGUAGCCUAAACCAAUCUGGAGGGCGCGGCCGAAGGUGGGUUCGAUAAUUGGGGUGAAGUCGUAACAAGGUAAC
rnacentral:rRNA from 1 species